UACGGAGGGUGCAAGCGUUAUCCGGGUUCACUGGGUUUAAAGGGUGCGUAGGUGGCUUUGUAAGUCAGUGGUGAAAUCUUAGAGCUUAACUCUAAAACUGCCAUUGAUACUGCUUAGCUUGAAUCAAGUCGAGGUGGAUGGAAUAUUACAUGUAGCGGUGAAAUGCUUAGAUAUGUAAUAGAACACCGAUUGCGAAGGCAGUUCACUAGGCUUGUAUUGACACUGAGGCACGAAAGCGUGGGGAGCGAACGGG
rnacentral:rRNA from 1 species